GACGAACGCUGGCGGCGUGCUUAACACAUGCAAGUCGAACGAAGAGCGAUGGAAGCUUGCUUCUAUCAAUCUUAGUGGCGAACGGGUGAGUAACGCGUAAUCAACCUGCCCUUCGGAGGGGGACAACAGUUGGAAACGACUGCUAAUACCGCAUACGAUCUAAUCUCGGCAUCGAGGAUAGAUGAAAGGUGGCCUCUACAUGUAAGCUAUCACUGAAGGAGGGGAUUGCGUCUGAUUAGCUAGUUGGAGGGGUAACGGCCCACCAAGGCGAUGAUCAGUAGCCGGUCUGAGAGGAUGAACGGCCACAUUGGGACUGAGACACGGCCCAGACUCCUACGGGAGGCAGCAGUGGGGAAUCUUCCGCAAUGGACGAAAGUCUGACGGAGCAACGCCGCGUGAGUGAUGACGGCCUUCGGGUUGUAAAGCUCUGUUAAUCGGGACGAAAGGCCUUCUUGCGAAUAGUGAGAAGGAUUGACGGUACCGGAAUAGAAAGCCACGGCUAACUACGUG
rnacentral:rRNA from 1 species